rnacentral:rRNA from 1 species
AAGCUCGUAGUUGAAUUUCGGGCCUGGCUGGGUGGUCAGCUUAACGGCGCGUACUGUCUGGCUGGGCCUUACCUCUUGGUGAGCCGGCGUGUCCUUUAUUGGAUGCGUCGGGGAACCAGGACUUUUACCUUGAGAAAAUUAGAGUGUUCAAAGCAGGCCUAUGCCCGAAUACAUUAGCAUGGAAUAAUAAAAUAGGACGUGCGGUUUUAUUUUGUUGGUUUCUAGAGUCGCCGUAAUGAUUAAUAGGGAUAGUUGGG